rnacentral:rRNA from 1 species
GACGAACCGUGCGAACGUUAUUCGGAAUCACUGGGCUUAAAGCGCGUGUAGGCGGGAAGGCACGUCGGUCGCUGAAAUCCCCCGGCUCAACCGGGGAAGUGGCGCCGAUACGACCCUUCCUGGGAGGGACGUAGGGGGCCUGGAACUUCCGGUGGAGCGGUGAAAUGCGUUUGAGAUCGGGAAGGAACGCCCGUGGCGAAAGGCGAGGU